ensembl:snoRNA small nucleolar RNA, H/ACA box 34
AUGGCCCUGACUGAAGACCAGCAGUUACACUAUAGCUGUUGGUUUCAAACAGAGGCCUAAAGAACUGUCUUCCUGUGGUUUAUCGGCUAUUCUGGAAACUCCGUAGAGAAUGACUGUUUCAUUUGGAAGAAACAACC